rnacentral:rRNA from 1 species
GACGAACGCUGGCGGCGUGCUUAACACAUGCAAGUCGAGCGGUAAGGCCCUUUCGGGGGUACACGAGCGGCGAACGGGUGAGUAACACGUGGGUGACCUGCCCUCAGCUCUGGGAUAAGCCUGGGAAACCGGGUCUAAUACUGGAUAUGACUCCAUGACGCAUGUUGUGGGGUGGAAAGCCUUGUGCGGCUGAGGAUGGGCCCGCGGCCUAUCAGCUUGUUGGUGGGGUGGAUGGCCUACCAAGGCGACGACGGGUAGCCGGCCUGAGAGGGCGACCGGCCACACUGGGACUGAGACACGGCCCAGACUCCUACGGGAGGCAGCAGUGGGGAAUCUUGCGCAAUGGGCGAAAGCCUGACGCAGCGACGCCGCGUGAGGGAUGACGGCCU